CAGCAAAUUUAUUUUCGUAGUGUUGCGAUUAGAGGCGAGCAUGUUUCGAGUGAAUUUCAGUUCAGAAAAGAUUUUUUAGUAGUGUUCGCGCUUGGACAAAUGAUAGCAUUAAUUCUAGCUCCUCAUAGCAUAACCGUCUGCUAUUUUACCUUCACUUUUUCAAUAUUCUUGCAUGGGGAUCUUUCGCAUGAGCUGCUGGAACCAAUUGAGGUAACAAGGAAAAAUAAAAGAAGAAAGCUAAAAAACAGACCUUACAGUUUUUACGAUCUCACCCGGAUUUUCUUCGAGGAGCAUUGGAUAAGUGAAAAAGACAAAUAAAUUUCAAAAAACAACAGGAUAUAAGUCAAGGCAAGCAAAAUGCCGAUGACUGGGAUGAGAACAAGAACAGUUUCUUUUUUCCAAGAAGAGAAUAAACUAUGUAUAUGCUUAAUGACCACAUUUUAGUAACGGGCUUAAAUCUAUGGAAUAGAUGGAACAUUACAGCAAGGGAGUUAUGGUAUUUUGGUCAUGAAUGAGAUUUCCGAUUCUAUUUGUAGCUUUCCGUUCGCUUUUGUAAGUCUAAUAGCAUAAAUAUAUUUACCGACAGAGAGAUGAGUGAUUGAGUGAGUCAACAUAUUCUAAACGAUGUUCUGAGUAGGAAGUUUAUCGCCGCUAGAAUUGUACAUUUUUACAAAAACAAGAAUAAACGUUGACCUUGGCUGCACCGAACCUAUAACACCCUUCACAGGUGCAAUUAUUUAGCAUGAAAGAGUAGAAAAAUAUCUCUAUCUUGUUUUUGUUAUGCUAUGUACACUGAUACGAUCUGAAAAAUUCGGAUUUGGAUUUGGAGAUUGCAGCAUUGCUUUGAACAAUAAUCUAUGCCAAAUUUCCUGAGGAUAAUUUCUCAAAUAAAAUAAGUUUUUCAAACAA